ensembl:rRNA 5S_rRNA 5S ribosomal RNA
GUCUAUGGCCAUACUCCUCUGAACAUGCCUGAUCUGAUCUGAUCUCAGAAGCUAAGCACGGUUGGGCCUGGUUAGUACUUGAACAGGAGAACAAACUGAUGGUUACAGAGG